rnacentral:rRNA from 1 species
GCGUUAACGAACGAGACCUCGACCUGCUAAAUAGUUCGGCAAACACUUCGGUGUUUGUAUUCCGUGACUUCUUAGAGGGACUAUCGGUGUGUAGCCGAUGGAAGUUCGAGGCAAUAACAGGUCUGUGAUGCCCUUAGAUGUUCUGGGCCGCACGCGCGCUACACUGACAAAUUCAUCGAGUUUACAACCUUGACUGACAGGUCUGGGUAAUCUUUUUAACAUUUGUCGUGCUGGGGAUAGAUUAUUGUAAUUAUUAAUCUUCAACGAGGAAUUCCUAGUAAACGCAAGUCAUCAACUUGCAUUGAUUACGUCCCUGCCCUUUGUACACACCGCCCGUCGCUAAUACCGAUUGAAUGGAUA